UUUAUUGAGAGUUUGAUCCUGGCUCAGGACGAACGCUGGCGGCGUGCCUAACACAUGCAAGUCGAGCGAUGAAACUUCUUCGGAAGUGGAUUAGCGGCGGACGGGUGAGUAACACGUGGGCAACCUGCCUCAUAGAGAGGGAUAGCCUUUCGAAAGGAAGAUUAAUACCUCAUAAGAUUGUAGUUUCGCAUGAAACGGCAA
rnacentral:rRNA from 1 species